rnacentral:rRNA from 1 species
UACGAAGGGGGCUAGCGUUGCUCGGAAUGACUGGGCGUAAAGGGCGCGUAGGCGGAUGGCACAGUCAGAUGUGAAAUUCCCGGGCUUAACCUGGGGGCUGCAUUUGAUACGUGUUGUCUUGAGUUCGGAAGAGGGUCGUGGAAUUCCCAGUGUAGAGGUGAAAUUCGUAGAUAUUGGGAAGAACACCGAUGGCGAAGGCAGCCCCCUGGGAUAACACUGACGCUCAUGCACGAAAGCGUGGGGAGCAAACAGG